rnacentral:lncRNA from 1 species
UCAGCCAUGAAACUCAAAAUCUGAACAUAAAAAAGAUAAGCAAUAAAAAAACAGAUAGAAACCCAGAUCGGAACACAAAAAGCAAGCAAUCGGAACAAUAUUCUAAUUUGAACAUUUUAAUAGAUAAACAAUGAAGGUCAUAACACCCAUAUCGGUACAAUCACACCGGAACAAAAGGAAGAUUCCGGCAGUACCAAAAUCGUGCAAAUCCGAACAAGAACCAUGAAGCCCCUACUAAUUCGUACAUGAAGCCCUCAAAAUCUAACAACCCCGAACUUUUGCAAAGCAUAGAUAGAAAGAGUAUUCGGGACGGUCCCCAUAUAUACCAGAUUCCAGCGAACAAGAUAAGCUUACAAAGUGGUAUCAACACAAGCUUUUUUAUGUUCCAUCUCCUACUUUGUUCUUCCUGGUUCGCUAUGUAAAGAAGAGACAACAGUUGAAAGGAAAGUUUCCAAGUCUCUAGUCUCACUGNN